CCUUCCCCCGACGCCGGGCAGCGCAUCUCCGCCGCCUGAGCCGCUUGCACGGGCAGGUUUGAUUUCUCCAAAACAUUAACGGAACUGUUAUUCUAAUAAAGGUAAACUAGCAAACACGCUUGCCUCUCCGCUCGCUCGGGCUUUGUUUACGUGCUUCAAACGCCACCGUGAGGCCGGCGCACAUACAGCAGCGAGAGCAGCCGCCUGCCAAGGAGCUCUCGGAUUAGCACUUGGCGAAGCAAAACAAACAGCGGCAGCGCGAAAGUCAGCGCGCAGCCCGCUGCCGGCGGCCGGGCGGCUCCGCGGGGGGAGCGCCGCCGGGCCCGGCAACGCGCGGGGCCGCGGGAGGGAAGGAAGGGGGCGGAAUGGAAGGAGAAGGAGAAGGAGAAGGAGAAGGAGAAGGAGAAGGAGAAGGAGAAGGAGAAGGAGAAGGAGAAGGAGAAGGAGAAGGAGAAGGAGAAGGAGAAGGAGAAGGAGAAGGAGAAGGAGGAGUUCUCCCGAGCCGGCCGCCCCGCGUCCCCCCGCGCUGCCCCCCGCCACCCCCGGCCGCUGGUGCGGGGCGGCUCCCGGCGCCGGGGAGCGCUGCGGGGCUUCGCCCGGGGCCGGGGCUUCCCCAGCCCUCCGGGUGCUCGCAGGUCAGAGCCUAAGUUUAUCAUCUACGUUUGAGUCUUUUUUUUGCAACAGAAGGGGGAUUUUUGUAAAAAACAAGGGGCUGCUGUGCCCCACGGACAGCGCCUCCCGCUGUGGCAGGGCUCAGCGCAGGGGGGCUGAGGCACGCUCCGGGCACACGGGAGCCGUGGCGGCGGCUGAGCGGCAGGACACGGUGAUGCCGUCCCCACCGCCACCAAAAGGCUGAGGGCCCGCAGGGACCCUCCCGGGGCACUGCCAGCAGGGGGACGCUGCUGCCCCCCCAGCGCGGCGGGGGGCCCGGCCCCAGCCCCGUCACCCAACUCCUGGUCACAAGUUGCAGCGGCAAACCAAGCGCUGCUCUGAAUCUGGAGAACGCUGACAAGUUAAAAAAGAAAAAAAAAAAGAGGCAGGUACAUUCAGAUGUGGUUAGGAAUGACAGGAGGACUGCAUACCUGGCCCUGUGCAGGUAUGGAGUAAAGCAAGAGAAGCAGUGGUGCAGGUAACUGUGUGGGGAAGGUGCUUCUUCCACCGAAAAGCAUUUGCUCUUCCCAGUCUGGGUGUUUCAGCUAACAGCAGGACUUGUCCAGUUGUCACCUUGAUGAUUUUUCUACUGCCACCUCAGUACACCAUUAUGACCACCGAACGCUGUUAUCAUAUAAAAAAGCACUUCAAGAUGAACGAUCACAUCAAAAGUCCCUUUCAGAAGCAAGUCAGGGCCACCCAGAUGAUACGAGCAGCGAGCACGGCACUCACACCAAGGCACCUCUGCCCCGAGCACACACCUGGGGGGCCCCUGCUGGACCAGAGCCCCCAGCCUCAAGGCUCACGGGCUGUGCUUUGUGAAGGAGGAAGGACAGACAGACAAAUACUGGCACCUCCGUGCCCCCCACGUUUGAGGAGCUGGGAGGGCACGCACGCUACAAGACCCCUUACAGCCCACGCUGCUCCUAUUUUGUAUUACAGCCCCGAGCAAAUCGUAGGUCACGAUACGAAUGUGCAGGCUGCUGAAUAUUUUUCCCUAGAAUCUCAUUCACAGAGAAGCCUUGGCUCACCGUGAUUAUUGCAGUCCCUGCGGGCUACUGUAAGGGGUUAUCAGUGCACCACGGGGCUUUUCUUCUCCUUACUGGCUACGUCCGAUCCUGACAGUGCCUGCUGGAAUUCAGCUGGAGAGGUAUCAAUUCUAUAGUAUAGCACCGUACCUAUCCGUUUAUUUUUGUUUUGUACAUCAAAAAAAAGAAAAAUCCCAACAACAAAGCACAAUUUUUAAAGUUCCUGACCUAACUAACAUGUUACAAACAAGAUACUAUGUAAAAACCAAAAAACCCCAAAGGCCAGAAUAAAUACACAAAGCUGUCUUUGACCUGGGGACUGGCCCACAUGACAAACAAAUGCACUGCCACUAAGCCACAUACGUAUGCCGCAUGAACAGAAAUAAAAGUGCUCAGGGUAGGCCAAUGAUUUGGUAUUUUGUAUCACUACUGCCGUGCACUUCUAAACUGCAUCGGUUUUAAGAUGUUCCUGUGAUUUUGUGAUAAUCCAGCCUAAACUUGUAGGCCUGUGGCAUUGUCAAUUGUUUCACCCACAAGCCCAAAUGCUGUGCAUGUGAAGUGCAUGCUUCUGGUCAUGAGGGUCAAGAUGACCAUGCCAAAAUGGAGAAAUGGUUUAGAAAAUAUCAAGAAAAAAGGUGAAGAUGCCUACAAAGAAAUUUUGGGGUACGAAGUUGUUUUGGACGGUCCCAUUUUGCACAACGCUUAUGAAGCUGGUGGCACACUGAAUGGGCACUAUGGCUGUCUCCUCUCUUUGAUCACCCCUAAGAACACCUCACAUUUUCUAACCAAAAUAGGCAGUAGUAACUUCUCGCACCAAAGUUGACUAAGAAGCAAAGCACUGUAUAAAUCUUUCAAAACAUGUUUAAAUAUAGCUUACUGAACUGGGACCACUGGGCAGAAACUGCUGAAACUAUUCAGACUGUUAAAAACUAAAAUGCGACAUGAUCUCAACAUAUGUGAACAUUCAAUUAUAUGAUUUUUUUUUUCCAACAUAAUAUCAAAUUUAAGACUGAAGUAAAGUAAAUGUGACUUGACUGCUUUGGAAUCUUCCUAAGACAAAUGACUGGAAGAGAAAGGUGUUUUAUUUCCUAUUUGAAUCAAUGAUCAAUAAGUCUUCUACACGAGAAUCAUGAAUUUGGAAUAUAAAACACACUUUUCUAAUAUGUGUAAGUUAAACUGAAUAAAAUAACUAUGUUUUUAGAGCAAAACUCACUAUUUUCUAAGUCACUGCAGUCCGUAAUUAUGAAGUAACUUGAAUAAGGCAUCUUACAUUGGUCCUAAAUUUUUUACUCAAGUAAAACACUCAUUGAUUCCAAUGUGAGUGUUGCCUGAGUAAUAGAGUUCCCUGUCAAACUGUUAAAAUCAGCUAACUUCUAAAAAGCCUGCGGAUUGAUGGAAUAGCAUGAUUAUACUGAAGGUAUGUAUUUAAUACGGAAAAAAUAAUUCAAGCUACCAGGCAAAAGGCUUUUUAACAUUUACAAUAAAAUAAAGUGGUAAUCUACGCAGAUAUUUUAAGGCGGUUUAUAAUUCUGUGCCUGGUCAUACAGACUCUUAUGCUUGUGACUUUAUUUAUGAAAGUGAAUCGGUACUCUCGUGUCACAAACAUUUGUGGUUUAGCAUCUAAGACAAAAGAAAUAGGAAUAAAUGGGCUUUAAAUAAUCCACUAGCAAAACAAGGCUAUUUGUAACUCAAUUAAGGUGGAUUACGGUGUAGGAGUUAUUUUGGAAUGUCGUAUUUAAAAGUUUGUGACUGAUGAUAUAUAUUUUCUUUGUCUGAUUGCAUAAGCUCUUCAUCAGCAUUGCAUAUAGUACAGUUAGAUUUUUUUAAUGUUCUUAUAAAAAUUAGAACUCCUUUACAAAAACACCAACAUCAAGCAAACGAAAAACACCAAAAUACACCUUGUUCUCUCUUUUAUUUAAUGAAGUAUUGAAAUCUUAAUUCUAACAAGAAUACUAAGUAAAUAAAUGUUAACUCUGCUCAGUAUUAGCAUAGUUGAAAUCGCAGUUUAUAAAUUUUUGAGAGCAUCGCCAUCAUGAUAUGGUUGUCAUAGAAACUGCAACAAUAUGUCAUUUCAAUUAUUUUUACAUGCAGUGAUGCUGAGGUCUGUGUAACAAUUUUUUUUUAAGAAGUUAUUGAAGUAAAUAUUGAAAAGCAGGAAUAAAAAUAUGAAUAGGUAACAGUUCCCUUAAACUAUUAUUUAAUUAAGAAAACAGGAAGAAAUCUAAAUAUUGUUAAAACUGUAAUUCAGCACAUAGCUGGAGAAACUAGUUAUGUAGACUAGUAGACUUUCACUUCAAAACCACUGAAGUUAAAAGAGAAAAGACAGAAACAUUCAAACUCUAAUUGAAAAUAGUAUCAUUUCCCAAUGAAGCAGAUUUGACAAAAUACGGGAAAAAAAAAAAAAAAAAAAAAAAGAAAAAAAAAAGAUUUAUUCCUCUAAGAAAUAUAAAAUAUUAAAUAGUUUUAAACCAUGAAUGGUCCCUUUAUGUGUGUAAGAAGCAAAAAGUCAAAUGUUACAAAUCCAGAACCAAAUACAAUAAUAAUAAAAAAAAAGCUUUAAAGGUAGGAAAUGUAACAUGAAUAGAUUUAUUUUUCCUGUAUAAUGCAGCUACUGUGUGUUAUGAAUGCUACCUUAAGUAAAUUAUUGCCAGCCACACUCAACUGACAUUAAUGACUUGAUUAUUAGAACAGAAAAGCUAACCAAAAUAAAGGCAAUGUUUUUCUUGUUGUUGUUGUUGUUUUGCUUUUUUUAAAAAUAAUUGUGUUUUAGUGGUAUGAUUUUUUUUUUAAUUUUUAUUUUUUUUACUGUUACAGGAAAGCAUCAGCAUAUAGUCUUGGUUUUGUAUUGCAUAUAUAAGAUACAAUACCUAAUCCAAUAGUUUAUACAUGAAAGAAAAUGCUGAGCAGAUCCUAGUGAGACAGAAUGUAGGUUUUCAACACGUUUUACACAGUAAUCAAUAAUUACACAGUAUAUUUUGUUUAAAUUUACGGAGUUGUCACAUAGAGUAGAAUAUGCAAGACCUUUCAAACUGAGACAUGAAACAAGCUGUUUGUAAGUAGAUGGAAACUACCAAUAUUGAAAACAAAACCAAAGAAAGGAAAAAAAAAGGAAAGCAAAAGCAAAAAAAAAAAAAAAAACAGCAGCCUAAAGAAGCUAUCUGAAGCGAGAAAGGAGAAGCAUCUAGAGCUAUCCUUUCUGAUAGGAUUAAGGAAUGCUACAAAAGCAUUUAAAUCUCUAGUUUUCCCUGACAAUUAACAAUGAAAAGCAGAUGUUUACAAAGCUAUUUUACAUGCUGGUUUAUAAGAUGCUAAAAGAUGGUUUGUGGAUGGUAAGAAGGAAGAGCUGGAUAACUGCUUGUCUGGUGUAUAUUUAAAAGCAUUUUCAUUGGCUCAGUUAUUGUUAAUAAUGAAAGAAACACUUUGUGCUGUAUGGCUGUGACUAUAGAAAACUGCCGUCAUAAAGUCCUCAGCAAACUCUUAAGAUGCAAUUUACAAAGAUAAUAAUAACACAGAAUUAUUUCACUUCUCUGAAUGCUACACAUUUGCAUACCAGGACUGUGUACAAUAUACUCAUAAUGCACAUUCAUAACAACAAGGACUUCUUAACACUGCAACAGCACAAGAUCUGUGCAUUAAAAAUCUACAGUUCCAAGUUUUUCUUUUUGGUGGCAAACCAUUUGUCUGUAUCAGCCAGAUGCUCUGCAUCCACACAGGAUAAGCCCACAUUCAAUUCUACACCUUCACUGAAUGUCAUCAUAGCAAGGAAAUUACGGAACACUGGAUGGUAGCAAUAAUACGAACCACUUCACUCUCCUAUCAAAAUAUGGCAAAUUCACUUUUCACACAAAUUACAGAAGAAGUCUGGUCUACAAGUGUGAGUCAGGAGAUGUGGGUUCUAUUCCUGGCUGUGCUACAAACCUACAGAGUGUUUUUGAACAAGUCACUUACACCAAGUCACUUGAGCAAAAAAAAAAAAAAAAAAAUUCAAAGAAUGCAUGCCUCAAGCUCGAUUUAGACAGAUCCCUAUCUGCUUAUAUCGGAUGCAUGCAAAUGUAGGCAUCUGUCUCUGAAAAGCUGGGGCCUAUCCUUUCUGGACUUUUCAUCUUCUUAUCCUAUUUCUUUGUUGGGAAACGUAAUUCAUAAAAGACUGCUCACAUCAAUUAUAUUUAUGUGUAACGAGAGCACCAUUAAAAGUCCCAGUCCUGCAAAGACUCACAUGCACGUUUCACUUCACACAUUUGUGGUAGUCCAAUUUACUCUAAUAGAAUUAUUCACUCUGUAUAAUUCUAGGCAUAUAAACUUCUGCAGUAUCAGGAACUAGCUUAAUGGAAUAGAUAACGUGUAAAAAUACUCAUACAAGUUAGUAAUGAGGCUCAGACUUCACAUCCUUGAAGUCCUGCAUCACAUUCUACGGCAGGAUUCUUUAGCUAUUGCUAUUAUCAUGGCCUAAUAGAAGCAAGAGGAUGCACAGCCAACUUGACAUUAAAAAUGUUGCCUAUCUUAUCGCAUCUACAUUUUCAAAACAAACAAAAACCUCUUUGUGCCAUAUAAAAAAAAAUUAAAAAAAAAAAAAAAAACACUUUAGUUCUAAUCGUAAGAGAUACUCAUAAAUCACCUGUGAGUUACCACCAUCCAAGCUGGUUUUUAUUUUACCUCAGACACUGAAUAAAUUCCAAUUCCUGUUAAUGCUUAUGUUCUUCCUACUAUUUACUCUGUUAUAAAUGAAUAUAUUGCACUGAAGCACAACAAUAUUUAAUUCAUAUUAGUUGGCCAGAUUUAAUUUCUUUGAUGGACUCUAAAACAACUCAGAAUUCCCAUCUAUAGGCUACUCUCUUGGAGUAAAAUUAUGCUACAUAUAUAAUGAUAUGCAAAGUAGGUCAAGUUCCCAAUUUGCAGAUACAGCCAUACUUAACUUCACCCAAAUGGGGACUGCUUAUGGUUUAAACUAAACAUGAAUAUCAAUGUUUACAGAAUUGGGGCAGAAAGUAGCAAACAGUCUUCCUGAUUUAGAUGGAUUUUUACACAAAUUAUAAAUAACACAAAUUAUUUACACAGAAAUCUAACAGCAAGGCAUUAUUGAAAAUAUUUUGUAUACCUUUUAAAGAACGCCAUGGGGAAAAUACCUUCUCAGAAGCAGUUAUUGGUAGGGGAGAUGGGGACAAAAGGAGGAAACUUCUGCCUCGGUCUGUAAGAGCCCGCACUAAUGCCAAAUCGUGUAGCAGCCAACACAAUGCAUCGUGUAACUGCCUGUUUGCAGUACUGCCAGCUUCCUCAGCCCUGAGAUACGGCAGGUACCAUCCCUUCUCCCUCCCCUGCUUCCCCCAGAAAUUAUACUCCUGGUUGCCUCCUUGACUUCUGGCCUGCCACAACCCUGGGCAAGGGGGCCACGAUUUGCCUCUGUCUCAGGAUUUUGCCAUGAUUUUAAUUUGAUGGCAUUUUAAUAAUACGGACUGGUUAGAUUUCUCAGACAUCUAAAAUGUCUGUGACUAAGGUUUCUUUUUUUUUUUUUUUCCUUUCCUCUUUCCUUUUCGUUUUUUAACAUGUUCACAGUCUUCAGCAAAGGAGCCCAUGCUCGUGGAAGUUAGAAUUUUAAACAAAAUAACAAAAUUAUGGUGAGCAAAAGGAGAGCACUUUACAAUCAGUAUGGUCAGCACCACCACCCUCAAAUCCCCAACUCUUAUGAUCAGAAAGUAUAAAAUAUUAUUAGUGUGGUAAUUUUCCAUUUAAGCAUUGAAACCCAGAGUGGAUUGUAAAGAUAUUUUCAAGGGGUCACAGCUUCUGCUUUUGCUUUUCCUGCCCUUUCUAGAUCUCACAGCUGUAAGGAAAAAUUGUCAUGUUAUGGUUUGCAAUGUACAAAACUAGGGAGAGUUCAGCACGGAAUUAACAACGUAUUAGGCUUGAAUGCACACAUCUAUUGUGACCACAAAUGAUGAAAAUUCUAUAAUAUAUCCUGCAUAAUCGUUGUGUUUGGCACAGGUAGCAACGCCUAAAAAAUGCAGACAUGCUUUCUAAGGUUCUGCGUCACAUAAGGAUUUGUUAAGGCCAAUUCAGUGAAAAAGGGAGAUAGGAAAAGACUAAAAUUGGUGCUUUAAAUGUAGUAUCCCAUACUGAAUCUUUUUUUCCAAUUCUUGAAUUUCAGAUUCUGAAAUGCCCAGUCCUCUCCUAUAGUGCGUUUGGCACACUUGUUUUCUAAGAGUGGGAUUCAAACUUUUCAAAGCCUUUACAUGAGGAACUUGUUUCUUUUUGCUCAAGAAAUUAAUGAAAGAUAGGAAUCCUUUGAUUUAGAGAGAAGUUUUAUUUUGUGGAGAAUAUUAAGGGAUUUUACUGUUGAUAUUUUCACAUUAAUAUACAUUAUUUAUCUCCACAGGGUGGCGAAAAAGAGAAAAUUGCAAAGACUUACUGGGUGGCAGGAAGUGGGAUUCACUAUAAUCAACAGCAGCAGGGGACUCUUUGAGGUUGUGUUGCAAGAUAUAUUCAAGAUUUUAGCAGAAAGAAAAUAAUUGCAUUUAAUAUUGUGCUGGUGGGAAAUAACAUAUGUUCAAUCUUUUCCAGCUUUUAUACUUACAUUCAGAUUUAGACUCUUGCCCUUAAGAUGCAGAGAUACUACUCCUUAAGAUUUGAAGACUUUUUUUUUUUUUUUAACACUACAGUUAUGCAGAGCAUGUCACAUUAUUAGCCAGGUAGAGCUUUAUGCUACUUUCAAAUUUGCUAUUUGACUUCAAAAAUUUACCAAAAUUUCGUGAACAUACUUACUGGACAAAAUAAACAGCCCUGUGUUCAAUAACCAAGUUAUUUCCAACCUAUAAUGAAGUUUCCAGCAUGAUGUUCAGAUUUUUGAAUGAAAAAUUCAGAAAUAAUGUGAUUUCUCAGAUGUUUGCUUAAAAAUUCUUUCUGGGUUGAAUCACUACACUUCACAAAAAUUCAGAGCUUCUUUAAAGUGGAUGUAAUUCUGUCUAUGUAAAGAGUAGCUGAUAAGUUGAUGAAAUAAUUUAAGUUUCUUAAUACAAAAAAGCUGCUGGUCUUACAAAGGUUUUCUGCACUUAAGGGUGGAAAAAAAUUGUGCGUAUGAUAAACUAACAUUGAGACUCAAUUAUAACUCGUAUAACUUCAGGAAAUUAAAAGUAGCUGUCUAGUCUAAGCUAAUUGUGUAGAAUUCCUUUAUAAUCAAAUACAUACAUGCAGAGAGGUAUCUCCAUGACAUGUUUCAGAAUUGCCCUGCUUUGCCCAUAAGAAACUGAUGUAGAAAAGGAAAAACUGGCCACUGGAGGAGUCUGCCCCUUUCCCCUGAAGAAGGACUUCGAAACAAUUAAUUUAGGCGAAAGCUAUCUUUUAGUGACUACAGCAGUUGAGAUGAAUUCUACCUUGCAAGACUAUUGCAGCCCUUGUCUAGUCUCACCAUUUAUGAACAUUUCAAUGAAAGUUGAUUAAAUCACUCCUUCUCUUAACCCUAUUGUUUUCUGUAUUCUCUGCAUAAAAACACAUCAAAAACUUUUGGAAUAUGAGAGAUGUCAGAGCUGGGCUGUACAUCGACACAGACCUACAAGUGCCUGCAAAAAGACUUGAACUGGGAGUUGUGUGUUGAAGGAGAAGGUGGGGGGAGCAAUCUUCUGUUCAAGAAAAGCCUUCUUGAAAGUAAUAUCAAGACUAAGCGGACUGGUUUCCUUUGUAAAAUGUAAUCUCUGUACUUCACAAGCUGCAGUUCCAUGGUUACUUAUGUGGCUUACUGGCUGGCAUCAGAGAGAUCACCUUCAUCGCUCCCAUCCUACUACCAUCUUAAGUCAGCUGAAGAAACAGCUCUGGGCUAGGGGAGAGGGGCUGUUGUGAUGAGGAAGCAGCUACAAAAAAAACAGUGCUGGCACAAUGGGAGACAGAGCUGAGUGUCUGGGUGCUGGUGCGGAGAUCAUGCCACUGCUGUGAGCUUAAAGGAAGAGUGGAACCACAGCCUGAGGAUGCGAUCCUGUGGCCCAUUAAACAGACAAACAGUCAGUUGACACAGUGCUGCCUCCCAUCCUUUCUGUACCAACUAAGCAUUUCUAUUCUUUCCCUUGCAUCAGCACUAACACCCACACAAGUGCGCAGGAGCCAAUUCAGGGAGGUGACUUGUCUGGAAGCUAACCCCACAGCAGUGAAGAGAAAAAAAAGAAAAAAAGAGACCAAACAAAAAAAAAAAAAAAAAACUUUCAACCAGAUCUGCUCCAAGGAGCAAUUCACAGAAUGAUCACACUAGGGCUAGUGCCAGCACAAUGGAGAAGGUGGAAACACAGAGCCAGAGGCAAUAGAGGAGACGACAAAGCAGCCCAAACUUAGAUCAACUCCAGCUGUGAUGGACCCGGAGCCAGAGCCAGCCUGACCACUUACAAGCUUCCUCUAAAACCUCUGCACUUUUUUUUUUUUUGAAAACACUGUGAUAGAAUGAGUAAGUAUAUGGAGUCUGAAUCACCAAGAUGCCAAAGAAAAACAAGAAAUAAAAUCAGGAAGCUUACUUAUACACCGAAUGAGACAAGAAACAAGAAAAAAACACCAUGGUCUUAAAGUUGUCUAGCACAGUUUCUGUAGAAUGUACUAAGCAAGGACAAAUCAUUCCUGACUCAAGUCCUGGAGCAAUACAGACCACACUUUUCAGUGAGUUUCCACUUUCUAAGCUGUCAUUGUGUAGUUUGGGGCUGACAGGAAGACAUUAGCAGUGACUUCAGAAAGCAUUCCUUAUAGUUUGCAGGACUCCGUAACACCAUCAUUAUAGGACAUAUUAUUCCACAGACUAUUUUUUAGAUAACCAAAACAAAUGUGUGCAGUGCACUCAUCACUGAGAUGAGAAGAUAAGGCAGAGACAGCUUCAGAAAGACUGGAAAAGCCUGAGACUGAGAAGCCAAAAGCCAGCAUUUAGAAAAUUAAUGGUGCUCAAGACAGGACUUCUUUUCUCUACGCAGGGAUCUUAACUCUGCCUGCCCGCAAACACAGAAAUGUGAAGCUUUUGUUAUUUCAGGAUGCAUAGCUUUUCAGUACAAACAAAUUUACCCUAGCUUAAGUUUGCAACGGCCACUAUGUAAGAUGUGAUCAAGUGCUGGAAAAAUGAAUUUAGAAGAAAGGAGAAAAAUCUUUAUUUAUGGGGAAAUAAUAAUCAACAACAAGAAGAUUUCUAGUAUUGCAUUCCCUGUAAAUAAAAAAGCAACAUCUCCUAUGGUGGCUAUGGUAGCAAUGCUAAGAAAAAUAUCAAAAUCUCUGUAAGAGAUAAAUUUUCUUAAAGCAUUGGAAGUAGACAAAAGCUGAAGGGAAGCUAUAAAGGAUUGGCAUGUUAACUCCUGAAGGAGAGCAAGCUCUUUGAAAAUAACUUUGAUUAGAUCAGUAAGCCAAUUACAUGGAGACUGGCUCAGACCACUGAGGUAUUUCAUUAGUUUAUGUAUGCAAGGUAUGUAAAUAAACAGGUAUUAGUUAGUAGGUUUCGUUUUUCUAUCUGCAGCCUGUACUAGUUGGAAGGAAGCUAAAACCUAUCACCGAUUUAGAGGAAAACACAUAUGAAAAUAUUAAAAAAAAUGCUAUUGACCACCUGACUCGCCACAAAGGCCCAGAAUGAAGGACUGUAACAGACACCAAAGUGAUGCUUAGCAUCCUGAAACCUCUGGUCCCAAGCAUACAUAUCGACGAGCAGACAGGUCUCUACAUCUACGUAGGUUAAAGCUGCAUUUACAUAUCCAUUUGUACUCUCACUGUUGUAGUAUUUUCCUGUACUGAAUUACAAACGCUCUAGGUCCUCCCCUGAAAACUAAAGAAUUAGUAACUCUGUAUUAAUUAUAUGACAGCGUAAAAAGAUUUCAGAACGGUCACUACAAGGGUCAAGGUACAUUAAAGGUUAACACAAAGAUUUGAACACAAGAUGGGAUAAAAAUGCCUGCUUCUGGAGAAUGGCAGUAGAAUAUUGGGGAAAGAGCGUAAAGGGUACUUCAAGGGGAAAUGCUGGAAAAGAGCUGUCAAAUGAAUUCAGAGAAGAGAAAAGGGAUCAGAAGUAAUUCACGUGCAAUCAGUCUGUUUUCGGAUUUGGAGAAUUCUAGGAUUACAGUUUUCUAGAAAUGAAAGUUUCCCUGAAGCCUUUUCAUGUGUGACUUUCCUUGGACCUAUGUACAGAUGUUGAGGAGAGGAGAGGAAAGGAAGUCGCCUUAUGAAGCUUUGCUUACUGGCCUGUCCUGGGAGAGGCCAUAAAAACAAAGUUUAGUUGACUUAAGCCAAUUUAUUUUUUUAUUUUUUUAUUUAUUUUGGUUAGCGAGCAGAAAGCAUCCUGGGAAGGGAAAAUAUAUAGCCACCAGGAGAAUAGGACAGCAUCUCUGAAAGGGGGAAAAGGAAACAUGGACUUUGAUGAUACGAAUGCAAAACCACCUGCAAUUCCCAUGCCUUUCCAGCCUGUUUUCUUUAUGCAGAUUUGGUAGCAGUCCUCACAACGGAGUUCUCAUUUGUCAAGCAGAUCAAGUCAGUUUUGCUUAAACUGCCUGUAGGAGCACAGCUUGAGGAUUCAACCACACUUAGUGGCUAGACUUAAUUAGAUUCAGCAUCUGACCAUUUUUCCUAAAGGAAUUUGUCACAGAGACAGGACACUUUUUUUUUUUUUUUUUUUUUUUUAAAAAAAAGGCACAGUUUCAUCUUAGUGGAAAGAUAGUAAAAGAUAUGAAUAAGAAUAUAAAAACCACAGAAUGUCUUUCCUAUCUACAGUAUUUUAAUGUACAAACUAUACCUCUUGUCUAAGCCAUCACAGAGUCCAGAGAUUGCAGCUGUGUACCUUUGAGGAAAGCCUGGAACUGCUUCCUUCACUUUGGAUGCUUCAGGCAAGGUUUUGCAGUUCCCCAUGCUGUGUACCACAGGAGCACCCACUCCAGCACACCUCCUCACAGUCCUACCGUCACACUGAAUUACGGCAUGCAUGCAGAAAACAUUGCAAUAACACCAUUAGGAAGUACCCACCCGAAAUUACUAGAUCACACAAAGUAUUCCAAAACCAAGCCACAUUUCCUACCUGACAUUUUUAAACAACGUCACUACUGAGGGGAGAUCACUGGUCUCCCUUCAGGAUCUUGAUACCAAAUGGCCUCUUUAUCAAAUGGCAGCCAUUAGGAGAAUUCAUGGGUGAAUCGACGAUCUUUUAAAGUCUGAUGGAUUGUCACUCACCUCCUCUAAUACACUAAAUAUGAUGUUUUUUGAUUUGACAUUUUGGUACACUCACACAAAAAAGGCAAGUCUUAAAAAAAUAAUAAAAAAUAAAAUUUUAGAAAGUAAAGAUUUGCAAAUGCUUAUGAGUGCAGCAGGUAUAAAUUGCAUUAUAAAAACUGUGAAGUAGAUAAUCAGUAUGCCAAGAUGCCAGAUACCAAGGUUGUAUUUAAUUUUAUUGUUUUUAAACAAACUGAAGCUAUGUUCAACUCACUCUUAAAAUUUAGAUACUCCUGUGGAAAGACGUAAAAAGGCUAAAUCCCUAGACAACAAAGAAAAAACCAAAGUCCUCCAUCCUAAACUGUCACCAGGAUGUACAAAUCGAUUAAUUACAAUGCACAAAUAUUAGCUAGGUUGCUUAUUGGUAACGUAACGUGUAAACUUAAAAUGAUACUGCACUGAAGGUUCACUUUUCAGGCAUGCUGUCCUGUACUAGGCUUAAGUAUCUUUCCCUGCACAACUAUUAAAAGUGCUUUCAAGUAUGUGUACACAGUGUACAUUUCUCAAGAAUUAUAAGUUUGAACAUUUGAAGUUCUGACUUCUUAACUAAAUUACUUGUAGUUACAGAUUGCCUCUUGGUCUCUCACAAUUUUAAAGUGAUUUUAAAAACACAGUAGUUGCAUAUUUACAUGUUAAAAUGGAAAUGGUUAUGGUUCCAAUCUGCUUCUCAUAACAUACAAAAAUAUCAGUUAUGCAUAAUUCUGGUGGGCACCGCACUUUAUUAUAUUAGCAUUAAAAAAAAAAAAAAAAAGACAAUUUUUCUUUACCAGAAGUUUAUGAACUAGUUGGAAAGUUGAUCUAUAAAUCAGGCAAAGAAUUUCGCUAUUAAUGACUUUCUCUCUUGCUUCAAAGUAUCUAUUGCACAGAGACUUCAUUGAACUGGACUGCAAAAAAGAAGUUACACAAUAACAUUCACCUUACUUGUUGCAGUUUUAAUUUACUUCAGUGUAUUAUCACAUACUUCAAAAUCAGUAAUCAGUAACCUUAUAUUUGAAAUUCCUUACCUAUUUUUCAGCAACAAAAACAUUCAAGUAUUUCAAAAACAAUUGUUUCUUUAAUAACACCGCAAAUAUUAGCUUCAUUACAAAGAAAAUGAAAUUAAUUAUAUUGCUAUCCAAGAACAAUGUAAGUUUCAAACAACAAAACCACCAAACAUAAGAAUGGACUUCAACUUCAUGUUAAUUUCACUAUGUAUGUAAGACUGUUAUCUCUGUUCAAUUGCUCAAUAGUUCAACAUUGGCAACCCAUUUGAACGUCCCCUACACACAAAAAUAAAUAAAUCAUUUUUAACUGUGUUACAAAAUUCUGUCAUUUUGAUAACACUGAGACCCCCAACUGCAUCCCAUUAUAUCAGGCACUACUUAUAUAGACAGGAGAUAUACAGUAAAUGGGAGAUUCUGUCCUGAACAGUGACAGAAAAGAGAAGAAAGAAUGUAGCACAUAAAUAAAAAUACAGAUUGUAGAGCUGAAAGUAAGCAUUUCCUACUCACAUGGGAAGACCACGGCACAGCUAAAUAUUACACCAGAUCUCAUGCUGCCUUCUAACACAGAAUUCCUUCCUUGGUAUCUGCAUACACGAGGCUUUCCUUGCCUUUCCGCCAAACUCACAAAUUAUUAAAACUCAGAGCAAGACAAGCAAGAUAUUUAGGACCUCUAUGCUCUUCUUCUAAUUAAAAUCUUCAAAUUAAAAUUAACAUGCUAAACAGCAAGUUUCAAGCAUCACCUGUCAAGACCACAAUGUGAGCUUGUCCCUUACUUGCUGCUAACAACUUCCUUUCACUCAAGGUCUAUGGAAGAAGGCUCGAAGCAACAAGUUUUCCUCUAGUGAGUAAAGGAAGAAACUGUCACCUGAAACUUUCCUUUGCCAUCUUAGAAUAUAAUUACACAAGUAUGACUGGGGAAGUUAAUUGCUAGCGUUAUCCCCAUCUCCUCAUGAUGUUCCUAAUUCUUAGCUCACCCAUUCACCUAACAAGAAAUCCAAGAGCUAGAACGUACAUCGUUCCAUUACGGUAUAAUAAUCAUAGGAGAGUACACGCCUUCACAUUCUUAACCAUUCAUACGCGUGUACGUACGUAUAUUUACAUGCACAGCGACACACGAAGACCAGUACAUUUAUAGUAUACAGACAGACAUAUAUAUAUGUACUUCUGGAUUAAAUCAAAAUAUUUGAAAGAAAAUUUUGACCACAGUCAUGACCUGUUAAUGAGCCAUUUGUUCAGGCUUUUCUUUGGAAAAGAAAUAGCCCACCUCCAUCUCCAGCACCAUGCCUUAACAUGACUUCAGGCAAAACUUCCCUUCUGGCCUCCAGAGUCUCUGACCAACACCUUUGCUCUGCUUCCAACUCGCAUGGGUAUCAUCUAACUGCUUUUGAGGCCAGGUUUUCACAAAAUAAUAGAUUAAAAUAAUGGGAAUGCUGUUUAGCAGAGAACGUAUUCUGCGGAGCUCUGCGUAGUACCAGAGGCACCGAUGCCCUGGAAGAACUCACAGGGCCAUGCUUGCUUCCCCUGCCUGGAAAUUCAGAACCACCUUUCAACCAAAGGUAAGAUUUCAUUUUCAGUUUAACCUGUCCUUAUUCUUAAGCUGUAUUUCUGCAGGCAUAUUUAUCCAGCACGGCACUUUGUCUAUCACCAAAUUAUUGCAUGUUUUAUUCUUUGUUUUAUCCUGCAGAGAUUUGGUUGGUUUUGUUGCCUAAAGCAACAAGCAGAACAACAAACAGUUCCAAGGAAGCUCCUCUUGCGCAGCUGUGGGCAUGCUCAAAAUUUACCUCCUAAAGCCUGAUCACAAGUGAAGGGUGCUUGAAUUUUAUCAGUCCUCAAAACAAAACAUUUUUACUUGUUCUGACAUAAACUUGAUGAAAUUUGGAUUUAAAUAAAAAAAUUUUAAAAAAAGCCUCAUCACUGUAAAACAGAACUAAAUGUCCUAUUUCUCGGUAGCCCUCCAGAAGAAUGCUCUGGAUGUUUGUUUAAAUACAGAAAGCAAGCUUAUGAAAUAAAGUGCAUAGACUUGUCAAACAAAAGCAGAUCUUCGGCUCUUCACUUUCACUCGUCCACAAUUCUCCUGAUUUAUAUUAACUAGAUUGCUGCCAUUGACAGUCUUUUUGCUAAUGCAUGUCACUUGAAUGCAAACAUAAAGCUAAUUUUAGGAAUAGUGUAAGCAUCAUGGUAGAAGUACCCCCCACACACACUAAGUUAUUAAUUUUUUGCCCAAUAAACAACAACAUUUUCCUCAUAAAUAUCAAGGAGGUAAUUGAUACUGAUUAUCUGAUUCAUUUUUAAAAGGCCAGCCCCCUCAUUUCUCCACAUUUAAAGAGAGCUGGGCAUCGGUAUGGAGCAGCAGGUUGAAACACUUAAAAUAAUUGACGGGACAAUGUGCAGACUCCAAGAAGCUUUCUUGUAUGGGUAUCUUCUAAAUCUAAUAUUAAGCUUUUCUCUGAGUUUAUAAUGUGUGAGAUACAGCCCAAUGACUUGUUCAUUACAGUCUUUUUCCCUCCCUUCUGUUUUCACGUUUGGGGGGUUGUUUUUUGUUUGUUUUUGUCUCUAGUACACAUUUGGGUCUAUUGCCUUUCUUAAAUCCCAGAAUUUGUGGUAAGAACUUAUCUAAUAAACAAUUUUCUAAAUGUCCUAAGGUAUGUUGCAUAACUCACAACUCCUCCUCAGAUAAACAGCUGUUGCACUGAGGUGUUCAGCAUCUUCACAGCAAAACAAGCUUGUUUCAACAGUUUAAAAUGGAGAGAUCAGCCUAUAUUGGUACAUCUAAAUUACAACUGCUUAAGCAAAGUGCCCUCAAUGUGGUUUUCAGAUUCACCAAGCAGAGAUUACUGAAAGCUAUAACUGCUUGUUUUCCCGAGACUACUUUUUUGGAAGAGUGGCUUUGCCUGCUAUGAAAUAUUUUCCAAAUCCCAACACCUAAAGCUGCUGUAUUGUACCUUUAAAAGUAAAUGUGUGCACUUUUCAACAAUAAUACAGUAAUACCCCAUCACACGCUGUAAGUACCAUCUCCACUGCACCUAUAGAGAAACAGAGCUAUAGAAGGAGGCCUUAAUUGAGCCCAUUCACAAAGAAUGUCUGUAGCAUAACUGCAAGGAAAACCCUGACUUCUUGAAUCCUUAUGCCUUAACCACUCCACCAACAUAAACACUGCACUGCUCCUUACUAAUUAUUUCCUAAGAAAUAAGCAUAGCAUACUUGAAAACUGCAGCACAGAUAAGCCUGAAACAGCUGUUCAGCUGCUUAUACUUACAGAUACAAACAGUACACAGUGCGUAAUCCACCUGGAGUUUUCAGAAGGUUUUGAUGUCAAUGCUAUUCAAACACAUCUUCGAAAAUGUUGAGUCUAUAAUCCCUCAGUAUGUGACAGAUAAAGGGUUCCUUAUUGAUUUGAGGCCAGGAUUUCAGCAUAGUGUACCUCAUGCAAACUUAAGGCUUUUUAUGUUGUUUCUUUGUCUGGCUACUCCUUUUUCACUUUUAAACACGCAAUCUGUGACCGUAAGACUUCAGAAAAAAUCCAGAACUGUUUUCCUUGUAAUUCAGUACACCCAGAUAAAGCCAUGCUAGAAGGUUAUUAUUGAUGUUUUGUUUGUUCUUGCUAUACACACUAUCUAUUAUAGGUAAUCCUGGGAUGUUCUGAAAAAUCAUUGCUAAAAUUAAAGACCUUUUGUUUGAACUUGAAGUUUUGGUGACUGAAAGGCAUGCGCCAUUAGAAGAAAAGUAACAAAAAACCUGCAGAAGACUGUGCCUCCUUACUCCUACCCCUUUUUGCAAACAAGCCAUUAAAAAAGUGUGCUACAGUAACAUCACCAAAUUGGUUCAGGUGCCCCAGGUUAGGAUUCACAGGGCUUUCCUGGGACAUAUCUUGCCCUCCUUAGCACUGCCAGAGUUGCAUCAUUAUCUCAUUAAGUUUAUUUAAAAACUUUUCACCCUAUUUGUGUGAGAGGCUGCAACUAACAGGCUGUUUUGUAAACCAUGCAAGUCUAUUUGUGUUCAUGCAAUGCUUGAGAUUUGUCUACAUAUAAACGUUAUGCUUAACUAUGCUGAUUUAACUUAAUCAGCUCAGGUCCUGUACUGUGAUGAGACCUAAAACUGUUUUCUACGUGUGAAGUUCCUCGUGUUAUGGAAGAAAGACGUGGCCCUUUCCUGCUACUGUAGCUGCAGCCCCAUCCAGGUGACACCUGCACAACUAUUUCAGUAAACCUAGGCCAUUCUUAGCAGAAAUUAUAUGUAGGCUCCCAUGGUGUAGAAACCCCAUGAAAGCCAUGAAAAUUCACUAAGCUUCCUUACGUACAGUGCCAAGAUAUUCAGCAGGAACUUUGGUCCUUGCCAAGAAACACGUGUGCCUCAGAUACAGAAGCUCUGCAUGUACCGGUAUUUCAACAUUCCUGGAGAGAAAUGUGACCCCUUGAUGCAUACACUGCUUUGCUGGCAUGCUUGCAUUCCUCCCCAUCUGUCAGAGUGGCAUCCUGCCUUCUCACAAGGUGGGAUGCCAGUUUUGGAGCACAGGUGCCAACCAAAUAUAGGUUCAGGCUAAUACUCUGCAAAAUGCGGCAAACGACAUUUCACCUGCAAGAAGAUCGUCCUACCUCUGACCCAUGCCAAAUAGGAUUGCAUGCCUCAUUAACAAAGGGGGUCAUCUUCUGAAAAUCAUAGGCAGCACCAGAAAUGCUGCUUUUCUCUGUAAUAUCUUCUAGCUGAGAGUCUUCAGCUUCUGAGGCUUCAUUUACAAGACACCAGAUUUUCCUAACAUCGCGGACAUACAGAGCUUUUGAGAAAGCUGCAAUAGACCAUGGGCAGAGAGAAGUUGAAUUCAUCCCCCAAAAUUCAAUUCUGACAAAUUCCAGGACUCUUAAAAAGGGAAGGUGAAUUAACAGUGAGGGAAAAGCAUAAGUAAAGACUUGGGUUAUCUUUAAGGGGGUCUGCUGGCAACACAAAGAAAGCUACCUUUAUUAUGACUGGCAAAAAAACAAAAAACAAGACAACAACACUUGUUAACCACCAAAGUACUCACAUAAUCCUAAAAUUCUUAAGAGAGAACCAGAUGUUUCUAUAAGAAAAUUUGACAUAAAAUACAAAAAAAAAAAAAAAAAAAAAAAUUAGCUUUUAGUUUGAGAAUUUACAUAGACGUGAAAGCACACUAGUAAUGAACAGCCAUUGAAUGAAAACUAUUUGAUAUACAAUGAAAAUACUGGUGAAUAUUAAACAGUAUCUCAAUAUCCUCAGAAUAAAGUAUGUUUCAAACUCCUUCUUUAACGAAAACAUUCCACACUCUGUAAUCUAAAAAGAAAAAUUAAAUAUUCACUUGAUCGAUAAACAGAAUAACCCAAAAAUAGUAUCGGUUUUGCUUUUAAAUUAGCUUAGCUCACUUGAUACAUAAAUCUACACAACAAAAUCAAAGCACUGUUAGUC